UACGUAGGGACCAAGCGUUGUUCGGAUUUACUGGGCGUAAAGGGCGCGUAGGCGGCAAUUCAAGUCAGCUGUGAAAUCUCCGGGCUUAACUCGGAACGGUCAGCUGAUACUGCUUUGCUAGAGUGCAGAAGGGGCAAUCGGAAUUCUUGGUGUGAGCGGUGAAAUGCGUAGAUAUCAAGAGGAACACCUGAGGUGAAGACGGGUUGCUGGGCUGACACUGACGCUGAGGCGCGAAAGCUAGGGUAGCAAACGGG
rnacentral:rRNA from 1 species